rnacentral:rRNA from 1 species
UAGGGAAUCUUCGGCAAUGGGGGCAACCCUGACCGAGCAACGCCGCGUGAGUGAAGAAGGUUUUCGGAUCGUAAAGCUCUGUUGUAAGAGAAGAACGUGUGUGAGAGUGGAAAGUUCACACAGUGACGGUAACUUACCAGAAAGGGACGGCUAACUACGUGCCAGCAGCCGCGGUAAUACGUAGGUCCCGAGCGUUGUCCGGAUUUAUUGGGCGUAAAGCGAGCGCAGGCGGUUUAAUAAGUCUGAAGUUAAAGGCAGUGGCUUAACCAUUGUUCGCUUUGGAAACUGUUAAACUUGAGUGCAGAAGGGGAGAGUGGAAUUCCAUGUGUAGCGGUGGAAUGCGCAGAUAUCAGGAGGAAUACCGGUGGCGAAGGCGGGUCUCUGGGCUGUUACUGACACUGAGGAGCGAAAGCAUGGGGAGCGAACAGG